GCCCCCGUAGUUUAAUGGAUAAAACGAGGCUCUUCUAAGGCCUUGAUGGAGGUUCGAUUCCUCCCGAGGGCACAA
rnacentral:tRNA from 1 species